UCUUUUCGGGUCGCCUUUCUACCAAUGAAGUUCGAGCUCCGCCUCCAGGGACUCUGGGCGGGCGCUCCCCAUUCACAUGUGUGUGGGGGGUCGUGCACCAGGUGUCCCAAUAGGUCCCAUUGAAGACACAGCACCUGGAUGUCCCAGAGUCUGAGAACCUCACAGCCCCGCCCUCAUCGCAGGCCUGGGGACCCCUGAGCCAGCUCCAGCUUUCCCACAUCUCAGACUGUGCUUUCCCACCCGGGGAGCAGUGUCUCCCUCCUUCCCGACAGCCCAGCACCCACCUAGGCAGCAGCAUGGGAUUAGCACCAUCAAACUCCCCAAGAGGUCGUGCCCAUCAGCAGAGCAGAUACUGACUGACACAGAUAGAGCUUCAUAAUUGUAAAGAUUUGUUUUCUAAUAAGAUGACCAACCACUAAAAGAUAAAGAUUCUUUGUACAUUGAAAUAGUGGUUCUACAGUUGUCAUGACCUCAAAGGCUGAGGAAACACCUCAAAAAAUGUAAAGUUACUACUUCCUCACCACAGUGAAGUCAAGGCAGCUGGAACCGGAAGCAGCCUGUCACUCGCAGAGCCAAGAUAAAAGACGAAGUGCACGCGAGCAUGUGUGUGCGUGGCUCACUCUCCACUCUUACACAGUUCACGACCCCUCGCCUACGG